rnacentral:sRNA from 1 species
AGUGUUACUAGUCUAUCUAUCAGCUACUGCUGUCAAUCUUGCUAAGCUAUCUCUCACUGCUAAGCUAUUCCUCACUGCUAAGCUAUUUCUUUGUGAUGGGUUAGCAUCUGUUAGUAAUUAACUUAUGCAAUCAACUUCUCUUCUACAUCUGUUCACCCUUCUUAUUGCAAUCCCACUCUGUGUCUGUGUAGUUUCUAACAAUUCCUCCAUAUAACAUGCAUAGUUUCUAAUGAUUCCUCUGUGUAAUCUCUAAUGUUCUUUCACUCUGUGCUUCACAGUGGUAUGUAUGUAUGUAUGUAUGUAUUGAUUUAGCGUCACAGAGAAGACACAGGCAAUGCCUGCACUUCAAAAGCCUCCCGAAGGGCAUGGGGACGUGCUACGCUGGAGAAAUCUCUAUAUACACAGUAAUGAUAGACACAGGAUCCAGAUAGCAACUCUUGAGAAGACUCAGUCUAUAUAGACUGUACAUCCACUUCUGGCCCGACGUAUGGCCAUUCAUGGU